GAUGAACGCUAGCGGCAGGCUUAAUACAUGCAAGUCGAGGGGCAGCAUGUCUUGUAGCAAUACAGGAUGAUGGCGACCGGCAAACGGGUGCGGAACACGUACACAACCUUCCUUCGAGCG
rnacentral:rRNA from 1 species